AUUGAACGCUGGCGGCAUGCCUGACACAUGCAAGUCGAACGGCAGCACGGGUGUGGUUUCGGCCACACUGGGUGGCGAGUGGCGAACGGGUGAGUAUAGCACAGGAAUAUGCGCUUGAGAGUGGGACAACCUGGGGAAACCCAGGCUAAUACCGCAUAAUCUCUGAGGAGCAAAGCUGGGGACCUUUUAGGCCUGGCGCUUGAGGGGUAGCCUGUGUCCGAUUAGCUAGGUGGCGGGGUAAGGGCCCACCAAGGCGGAGAUCGGUAGCUGGUCUGAGGGGAUGGUCAGCCACACUGGGACUGAGACACGGCCCAGACUCCGACGGGAGGCAGCAGUGGGGAAUAUUGGACAAUGGGGGCAACCCUGAUCCAGCGAUGCCGCGUGUGUGAAGAAGGCCUGAGGGUUGUAAAGCACUUUCGGUGAGGAGGAGUGUACGCGGGAUUAAGAGUCGUGCGUACAGGACGUUACUUGCAGAAGAAGCACCGGCUAACUCCGUGCCAGCCGCCGCAGUAACAC
rnacentral:rRNA from 1 species